rnacentral:misc_RNA from 1 species
CUCAAAAUAAAAAUUAAAAUAAAAAUCGUUAAACCCUAAACCCUAGAACUAGAAGCUGCCGUGCCCGUGCUGCUUCAGUGCUUCUAGAGCCUUCCUCUUUUCAUUAGAAAAGCACCUCCUUCCACUCUUUUCAGCCCUCCUCGUGCACGCUUCCUCUGUUAAUUCACCCGUCUUCCUCAGCAACCAGUCCAAAAUUCUUUCUUUCUCUGCAAUUUGAGCACCAUGUAUCGUUUGGUCUCUAGCCUCGCUGCUAAAGCUCGGAUUGCUAGGAACAGCACGCAUCAGAUUGGAAGUAGACUGAGCUGGAGCAGAAACUAUGCGGCGAAAGACAUCAAAUUUGGUGUGGAAGCCCG